rnacentral:rRNA from 1 species
GUGGUCAAGCUAAUAAGGGCUCAUGGUGGAUACCUAGGCACACAGAGGCGAAGAAGGACGUGGUUACCUGCGAAAAGUUCCGGGGAGUUGGAAGCAAACAGAGAGCCGGAAAUAUCCGAAUGGGGCAACCCUGAAAACUGCCUGUUGAAUAUAUAGACAGGAAAGAGCGAACCUGGCGAAUUGAAACAUCUUAGUAGCCAGAGGAAAAGAAAUCAAAAGAGAUUCCCCGAGUAGCGGUGAGCGAAAGGGGAAGAGCCUAAACCAAGGGGUAUACCUCUUGGGGUAGUGGGACAGCAACAUCGAAUCCAGAGACUAGACGAAGCAGCUAAAUACUGCACCAGAGGGGGUGAAAGUCCUGUAGUCGAAAGUCAAAGGAUAGAAGCUGAAUCCCGAGUAGUACGGGGCACGAGAAAUCCCGUAUGAAUCAGCGAGGACCAUCUCGUAAGGCUAAAUACUACUGUGUGACCGAUAGAGAACAAGUACCGCGAGGGAAAGGUGAAAAGAACCCCGGGAGGGGAGUGAAAAAGAACAUGAAACCGUGAGCUUACAAGCAGUGGGAGUCCGAUUAAACGGAUGACCGCGUGCCUGUUGAAGAAUGAGCCGGCGACUUAUAGGUACUGGUAGGUUAAAGCGGGAAUGCUGGAGCCAAAGGGAAACCGAGUCUGAAAAGGGCGCUAAUCAGUAUUUAUAGACCCGAACCCUGGUGAUCUAACCAUGGCCAGGAUGAAGCUUGGGUAAAACCAAGUGGAGGUCCGAACCGACCGAUGUUGAAAAAUCGGCGGAUGAGCGGUGGUUAGGGGUGAAAUGCCAAUCGAACCA